GGUCUGAUGGUCUAGUGGUAUGAUUCUCGCUUAGGGUCCACCCUGAGAUGGAUCGUGAACAACGAUUCAGAUUGAUUGCGAGAGGUCCCGUGUUCGAUCCACGGUCAGACCC